rnacentral:piRNA from 1 species
UAGGAAGUUUCAAAAAAGCCCAGCAGA